AGUUAAAUAACUUAUUAAAAGUAUAUAUUUUGAAAAUAUAAGAUAAGAGUGUUAAACCUCUUUUAACUU
rnacentral:tRNA from 1 species